CAACCCUCGAGCCCCCCCGGGGGCCCGGUGUUGGGGAUCGGCCUGCGCUAGCCCGCCGGCGCCGCCCCCGAAAUCCAGUGGCCGUCUCGCUGUCGGCCUCCCUUGCGUAGUAGCUUUCGUGAACUCGCAGCGGGAGGCGGGCGUGUCAUCGUGCCGUUAAACACCCAACUUUCUGAAAUG
rnacentral:misc_RNA from 1 species